GAUGAACGCUGGCGGCGUGCUUAACACAUGCAAGUCGAACGAAGCAAUCAGACGGAAGUUUUCGGAUGGAAGACUGAUUGACUGAGUGGCGGACGGGUGAGUAACGCGUGGGUAACCUGCCUCAUACAGGGGGAUAACAGUUAGAAAUGACUGCUAAUACCGCAUAAGCGCACGGUAUCGCAUGAUACAGUGUGAAAAACUCCGGUGGUAUGAGAUGGACCCGCGUCUGAUUAGCUAGUUGGUAAGGUAACGGCUUACCAAGGCGACGAUCAGUAGCCGACCUGAGAGGGUGACCGGCCACAUUGGGACUGAGACACGGCCCAAACUCCUACGGGAGGCAGCAGUGGGGAAUAUUGCACAAUGGGGGAAACCCUGAUGCAGCGACGCCGCGUGAAGGAAGAAGUAUUUCGGUAUGUAAACUUCUAUCAGCAGGGAAGAAAAUGACGGUACCUGACUAAGAAGCCCCGGCUAAUUACGUGCCAGCCGCCGCAGUAACAC
rnacentral:rRNA from 1 species